GAUAAACGCUGGCGGCGUGCAUGAGACAUGCAAGUCGAACGAAGGAUCGGGCUUGCUCGAUCCUUAGUGGCGGACGGCUGAGUAACGCGUAGGUGACCUACCCCGAAGUAGGGAAUAACUGCCCGAAAGGGUGGCUAAUACCGCAUGUGGUCGCACGUUCAUUCGUGCGAGUAAAGCCGCAAGGCGCUUCGGGAGGGGCCUGCGUCCGAUUAGCUCGUUGGUGGGGUAAUGGCUUACCAAGGCGACGAUCGGUAGGUGGUCUGAGAGGACGAUCACCCAGACUGGGACUGAGACACGGCCCAGACUCCUACGGGAGGCAGCAGUCGGGAAUUUUGCUCAAUGGGGGAAACCCUGAAGCAGCAACGCCGCGUGAGGGAUGAAGGCCUUCGGGUUGUAAACCUCUUUUGUCAGGGACGAUGAUGACGGUACCUGGCGAAUAAGCCACGGCUAACUACGUG
rnacentral:rRNA from 1 species